rnacentral:rRNA from 1 species
UACGUAGGGGGCAAGCGUUGUCCGGAAUCAUUGGGCGUAAAGAGCGUGUAGGCGGCCAGAUAAGUCCGCUGUGAAAACUCGAGGCUCAACUUCGAGCUGUCGGUGGAAACUAUUUGGCUAGAGUCCGGAAGAGGAGAGUGGAAUUCCUGGUGUAGCGGUGAAAUGCGCAGAUAUCAGGAAGAACACCCGUGGCGAAGGCGGCAUCCUGGACCGACACUGACGCUGAGGAGCGAAAGCCAGGGGAGCAAACGGG